rnacentral:lncRNA from 1 species
GCCAUUGGGGAGGCAGUGAUGGACAUACAGCUGUAUACAACCUGUAUUAGCAGGUGGCAAGUAGCAUUACUAUCUUUCCUGAUAAAACCUGCAAAAUGUUUUGUAGGGAGGAUGCCUGGGUUCUCUGAGUAAGGGGUUUGCCCAGGCAUUGAAAAAAACAUAGUGAAGAAAUGAGAUGCCAAAACUAGGACCAGAGGAGGGAUCCAGAAGGCUCUCUCAUGCAGCUUCCUGUUAUCUCUCUGUUGUGCUCCAAGCUGCUACUCCAAGCACAUUCUGAUCGCUCCCUCCUCUGAAUGGCUAAUGGCCAAAAUAAGAUUAUUUAUAAUUUAAUGCAUAAGGCAGAUACACACAUACACAAUUCUACACAAGGAAAAUACAAUCAGCAAAACACAAAAUUUGUAAGCAAAAUAUUAUUAGGGUUCAGAGACUGAGAAAUACUUCUGGCCAAAGAGAAUUCCUUCUGCCAGAUGAAGUCUGUGGAGUAGGAGAAUAUGAGUUCUACUGUGAAUCAUGGUUAGAAUUAUUCAGAAAUAAGUAUUGCUGAUGUUUGCCUAGUUUAAAAAAGUCAACUGUAAAACAGUGUAGAAAAGAAUGAAAAUUGUUCAUUUUCUCACAAAAGAGAAAUAACCACAUUAAAUAAUAAGUCCUUCCUCUCAUCUAUAUUGGUUUUUAUAGAUGGGCCAUACUGUGUAUAUGUUGUGUAACUUGAUUUUACCACUUAAUGUUACAUCCUAAGCAUUUACCCAACUCUUUAAAGAAUAUAGACAGCAAUACUUACCAAUUAUGUAUACUGUCUUAGGUGGAUAAAUUUUACUUAAUUUUUUAUUGUUACACAUUUUGAUAUUUCCAAGUUUCUUUAUUAUAAGUAAUGCCCCAACACUUGUCAGAUUAGUUUCUUAGGAUAGGUUGCUAUCAGUGACAUUACUGCAUAAAAGGUGUGAAUAAUUUGAAAACUUGUAAACUGGUAAACAUAGUAAACUGGUAAACUGGUAACUUUUACAUGGAAACAUGGAAAACUUGUAAACUGGUAAACAUUUGAAAACUGGUAGAUGUGACCAAACAGCUUUCUCUACAGAUUGUGAAAAUGUACAAUGCCAUUUGAGUAUGAGAGUGCCUAUCUUAAGUACUCUUACAUUUGUUCAAUAUUUUUACUUCCAUUAUGAAUGUAUAAUGAUUGGAAUGAGAAAAAUCAUUUUUUAAGAACUAUGUAUUUCAUUAAUUUAAAACAUUAAACACUUAUAAAAUAAUGUGUUAGAUAGACACAGUUUGUCUUUUAGAUGCUGUGUUUAACCUAAUUUGACCAUG